ACAUUUGAUGACCUUUUGUCAAAAAGUCUUUUUCCUGAGAGUUCACAGACUAGUAAACACUUACAUAACAUGUUGAGAAGAUAAGAAUUUAUGAUGACUGGUACUUGUUCUGCCUUUUCCUGAUACAGUUUUUUUGUUUGUUUGUUUGUUUGUUUGUUUUUAUACUUGUAUUUCUCCAACCUGCUAUAAAUCUACCUUUCUGCUGUUGGGAAAUUAAUUUCAGAAGCAUCGUUUCUUCCAAACUGUAAAAAUUAUAAAAUACUAAAAGUAAUCCAGUGUGUUUGUGGUCAAAAGAGUAAAAUAUGUAAAGGAUUUAUUAUCCAUUUAAAAAGAGACAAAAAUUGUCCACUCACUGGUUCAAACAAUUCUCCUGCCUCAGCCUCCCGGGUGGGUGGGAUUAUAGGUGGCCGCCACCACAGCCAGCUAAUUUCAGGGAUUGAUUUUAAAAGAGAAUGCCCACUCUUUCCUUGCCUAACGCAGCCAUGGCUCGUGGUCCCAAGAAGCAUCUGAAGCGGGUAGCAGCUCCAAAGUAUUGGAUGCUGGAUAAAUUGAGUGGUGUGUUUGCUCCUCGUCCAUCCACCGGUCCCCACAAGUUGAGAGAGUGUCUCCCCCUCAUCAUUUUCCUAAGGAACAGACUUAAGUAUGCCCUGACAGGAGAUGAAGUAAAAAAGAUUUGCAUGCAGCGGUUCAUUAAGAUCGAUGGCAAGGUCCGAACUGAUAUAACCCAGCCUGCUGGAUUCAUGGAUGUCAUCAGCAUUGACAAGACGGGAGAGAAUUUCUGUCUGAUCUGACACCAAGGGUCGCUUUGCUGUACAUCGUAUUACACCUGAGGAGGCCAAGUACAAGUUAUGCAGAGUGAGAAAGAUCUUUGUGGGCACAAAAGGAAUCCCUCAUCUGGUGACUCAUGAUGCCUGCACCAUCCGCUACCCCGAUCCGCUCAUCAAGGUGAAUGAUACCAUUCAGAUUGAUUUGGAGGCUGGCAAGAUUACUGAUUUCAUCAAGUUCGACACUGGUAACUUGUGUAUGGUGACUGGAGGUGCUAACCUGGGAAGAAUUGGUGUGACCACCAACAGAGAGAGGCACCCUGGAUCUUUUGACAUUGUUCACAUGAAAGAUGCCAAUGGCAACAGCUUUGCCACUCGACUUUCCAACAUUUUUGUUAUUGGCAAGGGCAACAAACCAUGGAUUUCUCUUCCCCAAGGAAAGGGUAUCUGCCUCACCAUUGCUGAAGAGAGAGACAAAAGACUGGCGGCCAAACAGAGCAGUGGGUGAAAUGGGUCCCUGGGUGACAUGUCAGACCUUUGUACGUAAUUAAAAAUAUUGUGGCAGGGAAAAAAAAAAAAA